rnacentral:lncRNA from 1 species
UCCAGAAAAGAUCCAUACCCCCCCACGGAGGAAAUUUUUGCUGUCCGAAGGGGGAGGGAGGAAAAAUGUCUUAGGAUGUCCGAAGGGGGGAGAGGGAUGUGGAUAUGUUUGUCUGAAGGUUUGAGACUGUGAUAAAGCUAUGUGAUCGGCGAUUAUAAUGAGCACGCAAUUUUUUAUCGGCUAUAUGUAGCUCUUGAACACCGGAACGUUUAUGUAACAGCAAUAAUUAUACGUCCACGUAACUCGUAAGCAAAAUAAGCGGCCCACUUUUGCAUGCAUGGCCACCAAAAACUAACUCGCUGUAACAGCGUAUCCUGCAUGUUGAGAAUGAGUCGAAAAUUGACACGCUUUAUUUAUAUAGUUUGCAGUUUUCGUUCGUAUAUAUAAGUUUGAAUUAUUUAAGUGUUAAAAAUAAUAGUUAUUAAACUGUUGCUCGAAUUAAGAGACUGCUAUGUGAACUGAACUCAAAACAAUUUGUUUUAGUAUAUAGUCAAUAAAGCUUCCUUGCGAGGUGCGUGUCUAGAAAAUAGAAAUGGCUUUCAUAUUAAGGGCGAGGUUAAGGAAUGCAGUAAUACUAAAAAAUGCAUUAACAUGUAAGUAAACACAGCAACGCUUGUCAAUCAGUCGCAAGUUACAUCGAAUUUCAGUCCGAAUUUUACUUGAACAAAUUUCGAAGUGAAUUUCUGCAAAUUAUCCGACAAAACCUGCCACGUGUUUGUGUUCGCAAGUCACAAGAAGCCGCCAAGUGUUCCACCACGCCGNNNNNNNNNNNNNNNNNNNNCCCACGGAGGAAAUUUUUGCUGUCCGAAGGGGGAGGGAGGAAAAAUGUCUUAGGAUGUCCGAAGGGGGGAAGAGGAAAAAUGUCUUAGGAUGUCCGAAGGGGGGGAGAGGGAUGUGGAUAUGUUUGUCUGAAGGUUUGAGACUGUGAUAAAGCUAUGUGAUCGGCGAUUAUAAUGAGCACGCAAUUUUUAUCGGCUAUAUGUAGCUCUUGAACACCGGAACGUUUAUGUAACAGCAAUAAUUAUACGUCCACGUAACUCGUAAGCAAAAUAAGCGGCCCACUUUUGCAUGCAUCACCACCAAAAACUAACUCGCUGUAACAGCGUAUCCUGCAUGUUGAGAAUGAGUCGAAAAUUGACACGCUUUAUUUAUAUAAAAGUAAAGUUUUGCAGUUUUCGUUCGUAUAUAUAAGUUUGAAUUAUUCAAGUGUUAAAAAUAAUAGUUAUUAAACUGUUGCUCGAAUUAAGAGACUGCUAUGUGAACUGAACUGAACUCAAAACAAUUUGUUUUAGUAUAUAGUCAAUAAAGCUUCCUUACGAGGUGCGUGUCUAGAAAAUAGAAAUGGCUUUCAUAUUAAGGGCGAGGUUAAUUAAAGGGUAUUGGCAACAAAAUUUUUUAUUGAUUUUAUUGCUUCAUCUGAAGGAGCAUGAAAAAAUAAGCCGAUUGGCCGUUUACUGCUCUAUUCUAUCUCAUCUGGUUCCGAAGUUAUACGCAAAAAUGUGCAAAAUAUAAAUUGCUGAUUCAGCACAUUCUGUGAUGUCAUAAGC